rfam:Aedes albopictus isolate Foshan contig21028, whole genome shotgun sequence.
AGCAGAGUGGCGCAGUGGAAGCGUGCUGGACCCAUAACCCAGAGGUCCAUAGAUCUAAACUACGCUCUGCCA